UACGGAGGGUGCAAGCGUUAAUCGGAAUUACUGGGCGUAAAGCGUGCGUAGGUGGCCUGUCAAGUCAGAUGUGAAAGCCCUGGGCUUAACCUGGGAACGGCAUUUGAAACUGGCAAGCUAGAGUUAGGUAGAGGGAAGUGGAAUUCCGGGUGUAGCGGUGAAAUGCGUAGAUAUCCGGAGGAACACCAGUGGCGAAGGCGGCUUCCUGGACCCAAACUGACGCUGAGGUACGAAAGCGUGGGUAGCAAACAGG
rnacentral:rRNA from 1 species